UAGUUAAUCUUGUAUUUGGACCUAAGCCUAGUACCAAGUGCCAAGCACUGUUCUUUACGGGCCAAUUUGAGCAAAUUUGGGCCUUCUCUCAUGAUGGCAGCACCACCAGUGGGCAUUUCAAAGAUCUGUUCCUUAGGUGAUUCCCAAGUGAUCACAUAAAACUCCUCAACUUGGGCCUUACGAAGAAGCCCACCAGUGCUUCCACCAAAGAUAGGAGAUGGGGUGCUUGGGUCCAAUUGUGGUGGUGUGAAGCCCACUGGUGCUGCUGGCUCGGCCUCUUUGGUGGCCGAUUGGGCCUUCUCAUCUGCCAUAGCCUUGAUAGGACGGUAUGUCACCGCGGACUUAGAUGGUUUAGGGGCGGAG
rnacentral:lncRNA from 1 species